rnacentral:lncRNA from 1 species
GCAAAGUGCGGUUAACUCUGCCUGGGUUCAUUGAGUUGGGGUCUUCAUCUCUGCUUUUUCAUUUUCUCUGCUUUCCCCCAGCUCCAGGAUGUUCACCUGCUCCAGUCAGUGGGAGGGGGGACAAGAAGGCCAGUGCUCGCCCCCUGCCUCCGUGGCGCCGUUCUGCUUCAAAGCUUCUCUCGUCAGAAGCCUGGGGCUCACUCAUCCCGUCAAGCCUACGGGGCCUCCCUGUACGAGCAGCUGGUGUGGGAACGUCAGUUAGGACUUCCCCUCUACCUGUGGGCUACCAAGGCCCUGGAGGAGCUGGCCUGCAAGCUGUGUCCCCAUGUGCUGAGACACCACCAGUUCCUGCAACAUUCCUCUCCUGGGAGCCCCAGCCUGGGACUGCAACUCCUGGCUCCUACCCUGGAUCUUCUAGCUCCGCCAGGCAGCCCUGUUCGGAAUGCACACAAUGAGAUCCUUGAAGAGCCACAUCACUGUCCCCUCCAGAAAUACACUCGGCUGCAGACUCCCU